GACGAACGCUGGCGGCGUGCCUAAUACAUGCAAGUCGAACGCAUUUUCUUUCACCGUAGCUUGCUACACCGAAAGAAAAUGAGUGGCGAACGGGUGAGUAACACGUGGGUAACCUGCCCAUCAGCGGGGGAUAACACUUGGAAACAGGUGCUAAUACCGCAUAAUUCCAUUUACCGCAUGGUAAAUGGAUGAAAGGCGCUUUUGCGUCACUGAUGGAUGGACCCGCGGUGCAUUAGCUAGUUGGUGGGGUAACGGCCUACCAAGGCUGCGAUGCAUAGCCGACCUGAGAGGGUGAUCGGCCACACUGGGACUGAGACACGGCCCAGACUCCUACGGGAGGCAGCAGUAGGGAAUCUUCGGCAAUGGACGCAAGUCUGACCGAGCAGCGCCGCGCGAGUGAAGAAGGUUUUCGGAUUGUAAAACUCUGUUGUUAGAGAAGAACAAGGAUGAGAGUGGAAAGUUCAUCCCUUGACGGUAUCUAACCAGAAAGCCACGGCUAACUACGUG
rnacentral:rRNA from 1 species